rnacentral:rRNA from 1 species
AUUGAACGCUGGCGGCAUGCUUUACACAUGCAAGUCGAACGGCAGCGCGGGCUUCGGCCUGGCGGCGAGUGGCGAACGGGUGAGUAAUACAUCGGAACGUGCCCAGUAGUGGGGGAUAGCUCGGCGAAAGCCGGAUUAAUACCGCAUACGACCUGAUGGUGAAAGCGGGGGAUCUUCGGACCUCGCGCUAUUGGAGCGGCCGAUGGCAGAUUAGCUAGUUGGUGGGGUAAAGGCCUACCAAGGCGACGAUCUGUAGCUGGUCUGAGAGGACGACCAGCCACACUGGGACUGAGACACGGCCCAGACUCCUACGGGAGGCAGCAGUGGGGAAUUUUGGACAAUGGGCGAAAGCCUGAUCCAGCAAUGCCGCGUGUGUGAUGAAGGCCUUCGGGUUGUAAAGCACUUUUGGCGGGAACGAAAAGGACUGUGCCAAUACCACGGUUCGAUGACGGUACCCGCAGAAUAAGCACCGGCUAACUACGUG